UUAUUUUCUUUCUUACGGCUCGAUCUCAAUUCUCAUUUUUGUCUCAUCUGCGGCAUUAACUAGGUUAUCUUAAUUACUGCCGUCUAUUCAUUAUUAAAGCCGACCUCGAAACUCGCUUCGACGCGACGGUUUGAUACGACGGCCUUUCUUCUUCUCCAAUCUUUCAUUCUUUUUGUCUCUUCUAUUUCUUCUUCGUCUUCCAUGGAACUUUUCUUUCGCUUCCCUUUCUUUCAUCUUCUCUGAUUCCUUUUAUUUUCC
rnacentral:lncRNA from 1 species